GCUGGGCAUGGUGGUAUGUGUCUGUAGUCCUGGCAACUUGGGAGGCUGAGGUGGGAGGAUCACUUGAGCCCAGGAGUUUGGGGUUACAGUGAGCUAUGAUCAUGCCACUGCACUCUAGCCUGGGCAACAGAGUGAGACCCUGUCUCUA
rnacentral:SRP_RNA from 1 species